rnacentral:rRNA from 1 species
UUGGAGGGCAAGUCUGGUGCCAGCAGCCGCGGUAAUUCCAGCUCCAAUAGCGUAUAUUAAAGUUGUUGCAGUUAAAAAGCUCGUAGUUGAAUUUCGGGAUCAGAUUGUCGGUCGUGCCUCGGUACGCACUGGCAUUAUUGGUUCCUACCCUCUGAAGAACCGCGAUGUCAUUAAUUUGUGUCGUGGGGAAUCAGGACUGUUACUUUGAAAAAAUUAGAGUGUUUAAAGCAGGCGCACGCUUGAAUACAUUAGCAUGGAAUAAUGAAAUAGGACGUUUGAUUCUAUUUUGUUGGUUUCUAGGAUCGACGUAAUGAUUAAUAGGGAUAGUUGGGGGCAUUAGUAUUCAAUUGUCAGAGGUGAAAUUCUUGGAUUUAUUGAAGACUAACUACUGCGAAAGCAUUUGCCAAGGAUGUUUUCAUUAAUCAAGAACGAAAGUUAGGGGAUCGAAGACGAUCAGAUACCGUCGUAGUCUUAACCAUAAGCUAUGCCGACUAGGGAUCGGAUGAUGUUAAUUUUUUAAUGACUCAUUCGGCGCCUUACGGGAAACCAAAGUGUUUGGGUUC